UUGGGGACUGACAGAUUGAGUAGUAUUUAUAUUUCAGUCCCAAAACAGAUUGUGUAGCGUAAAUACAUAUAUUUUAAUCAAAAUUUUUUUAUUCCGUUCUAAGUGGCAAAAUUUCUAGUGUGUUAAGUUUUCGGCUGUACCGCGUCACGUUCUUUAUGCUUUUAUUUUAAUAAAAAAGUGCAAUAAAAUCCAAAAAAAAAAAAGAGAAAAAAUAAAAAUAAAAAAAAAUAAACAUAAAUGCAAGAAAAAUACAAUAGACCCAGGAUCUACAAUACAUUCGUAAGAAGGUGCAUCCAAAAUUCAGCAGAAAGUAAAAUAGAAGAGAUUGGCUCUUCCGAUGGCCGGACAGAUUAUCGCAAGAGCUCUGUCGUUUGAGUGCUUUCUCCACAGUUAUUGAAAUUUCUGCAAUUGAGUUCGGAGCGCUCGAAGCUAUUUAAUUGCUGCCUUAGUGCUAGAGAUGGUCUACAGACACGAAAAAAAGGAUACACUGCUUGAGACUACUAGACUAUUGUGCUGCAUCAGGCCCACCAAGAGGCCAACGACAAAGACUGUACUUUGUUAUUGGAUUCUGAGGACCGACUCAGCAAUGCCAAGACAUUGCCGAGCAGACGAAAGGGAGUAGGGAGCAGAGCAGCGCCCGCACCACGAAACAUCCAACGAAAAAUUGAAAUAGAAUUCGUAUCUGAUCCAAUAUCUUGGUUUUUCUAUAGUCCUUUGGCAAUGGUCAGUCGUUUCUUAAAGCUUUACCUUGUGGAACAUUAUCAAUCUAUCAUCGAUCCUUGAAUUCACUCCACAUUUCCACAUGUGUUGCCAUCCUAUUACCAAAACACGAGCACCAAUUCGACCAUCUCUAGCUCGAGUCAAUAAAGAGACGAGCAACAACAACAACAACAGCAGAGGAGCAACAGUGGCCGCAGAGGAACGGCAAGAAAUGCUGCUCGUGUCCGGAUCCGGGGCCCUUUACCCGCAGGUGUUGUAAUCCAGCAAACGAGUCCUGGACCUGAGCCAAAGCUGCUUUCUCUCUCAAGUGCUAACUAAUUUCGUUGUUGUCCAAGGCUUCGUCCCUUCCAUCCUCCCCUCGGGCUUAGCCUUAUUCCCAGCCUCAUCCUCUCGAUGCUCUCAUCAUCAUCAUCAUCCGUCUCGGAGUCCUGGUCGUCGUCAUCGUCUUCUUGCAGUUUCGUUUUUGGUGUCAGCAACAUUUCUUCAAUUGGUUUCGUUUGCCUGCCCCUGUCCCUGCCCCAGCCACUGCCCUGACAUGUUGUUGUUGUUGUCUCUUUGGGUCCAUCGGGUGUCCCUUAUAAGGUGUUUUUUGUUGUUGUUUUUGUUCGUCCUGCUCCUUGGUAGUGCAAUCUUUUUGGCAAACUCUUGUGUGCCGCACAGUUGUUGACUCUGUUACGGGGCCAAGCCAAUUCCUUUUUGGCCCCGUCGGCCAGGCCAAGUCUCAUCUCUUGACUUGUUCUGCUUUUUAUGCACUUUUCCCCCGUUCUAGUACAAGGCGGCUCCUAUUGCACUGCAGCAUAGGGACACUCCAACCCACCCAACGUUCCAAAUAUGUAUGUACAUAUGUUCUCUCAUAUAUGAUCUGGCUUCUGGUUCGCAUUUUUAUGGUCGUGCUGUGUAGUUUUACCUAUCCUUGGCCCAAACUUGAGCCAGUUUCCUUUUGGCAAAACAUGUCUCAUUUGGAUCGUAACAUUUAGCUUAAUGUUUAUGAUAUUUGCCACGAAAAGGAGCUUCCACUAAAGUAAAAUAGGAACAGGAAUAGUUGAUGGCUGCUGUGUGCGGAGUGUCCAUACAUAUUUCAGGGGAAGGGAAUUAGUUGAAAUUUUAGAACUUUAUAGCCGAAAACCUUAAUUCUGUUGAAUUAAAGUACAUCGCAGAGAGAGACAGACACUGGCUGCUCCGCUUGUUGCAUUUUGUUUGUAUUUCGCCUCGAGCGCAGUCUUAUCUCUUGAUCUUCAUUUGAUUCGCGAGCAUUUCUACUCACGCAAUACACUUUCUGGCUCUCCCGGCAAUUCCCUCUUCCAGCAAAAACAACCACAAGGCGAGCGCAGUUUGUUGCUGUUUUCUGUUUACCGAUCGAGCCGCGAAACGGUAUGCGUCGUCAUUUCAAGAGCAUAGCUCCCCGUCAGAUUUGCAUUGCUUUGCUCUCUGCAAUUCGUUUGCUUUUCGGUCUCAGCAACAGCAACAAUAGUGCGCCAUACACUCGACUGCAACUUCGGCUUCAGCUUCGGCUUCAGCUGCGUAUUCAGCUUCGUCUUCAGCUUUGACUCUCCGCUUGCGCUUGAUUUUAUCUCCCUCGCUCACAAGCCUCGCCCUCAGCAUAUUCUAGCCCUCGCUUGAAGCAAAAGCAAUAACCAACGGGACUCUCUACUGUGCUGCGUAGUUUCUGUGCCUUUAUUUCGAUCUCUGCUUAUGGCUAUACAUUUAGUCGGAACCACUACAGAAUACCCUUUGUUCUACAAAACUCCAAUAUAUUUAUUGCUUUAAUCCUGUGAUGCAGUGUUUUUCCGCUGCAUUGCCAGCAUACGUGCAGUUUUUUGUGUUUGGCCUGCUGCCUAUGCCUACACUCUAAAACCACUGCUUGAAUCAUUCAUUUAUAUAAAUUAACCCGAUUUAUUGUCUUGUAUUGGCAUUCACUUUCUGAAAUUACUUCUUAAGCCUGAGGAUAUUUCUCAAAACAUUAUUGUAUUUAUUUUGUGUGUAGACUUUGAUGAUGAAUGCCUAAAGUUUAAUCGAUUCAAAAAUCUCCUUCAUGCAAAGCCUAACAAAUGUAAAUAUUAAAAUGCUGUGAAGGGAUUAAUUCCUUAGAACCCAAGAAUAUGUGCAUUUACUCCUUUGACUCUGCCUCGUCUGAAUGAAUAAUUAAUAGGCUACGAAUCCAGUUUAAUUAAAUAAGGUCAAGGAUUAUAGAAAUUGCUUUGGGCUUCACUUUCAAUUUUGUUCCGAGAAAUUUAUGCACAAAAUCCAAUUACCACAUUUAUCCAAGCAAUUUGUUGAUAAAAUCACAAAAAUCAGAAUUGUCUGAUAUGAAAAAGAAGUCACUGAAAUGUGGAUAGAUCUCAUGGUAAAAAUAUGUACGUGAAAAUGGAAGCAAUAAUCCAAAAAAAUGUUAAAAUGUCAAAAGAAAACUAAAAUAAAUCUAGAAAACGUGUGAGGGGGAGAAAGCAGACAAAAAAUAAAUUGUUGAAUGGAGCGACAACAAAAUUGAGUAAAUCCCUUAGUGGCUGUGCUUCGUUGCAAGCUGCUUUCUGCCUGAUUGCAGCCGUUGGAGCAGAGCGCAGAGCAAUUAACGUGAAAAUUCGCCAAGGAAAAAUCCACUACUCUGUGGUAGGUAGUGCAGUGUGUGUGAGCUUGAGUGUUGGUGUGUGUUUGCGUGGGUCGAGGGGAGGUGCUAACAACACAAAAACAGAUGAAAAUAAGACGGAAAUAGUUGGUUCAGAGACCGCAGGUUUCAAUACUCUUUUCUAUGGAAUAUUUUACGAUGAAUCGUUUAAAAUUUCGAGCAAAUUUUAGACGCGAAGAAA